CCAGACUCCUACGGGAGGCAGCAGUGGGGAAUAUUGGGCAAUGGGCGCAAGCCUGACCCAGCAACGCCGCGUGAAGGAAGAAGGCUUUCGGGUUGUAAACUUCUUUUCUCAGGGACGAAUAGAUGACGGUACCUGAGGAAUAAGCCACGGCUAACUACGUGCCAGCAGCCGCGGUAAUACGUAGGUGGCAAGCGUUAUCCGGAUUUACUGGGUGUAAAGGGCGUGUAGGCGGGGACGCAAGUCAGAUGUGAAAACCACGGGCUCAACCUGUGGCCUGCAUUUGAAACUGUGUUUCUUGAGUGCGGGAGAGGUAGGCGGAAUUCCUAGUGUAGCGGUGAAAUGCGUAGAUAUUAGGAGGAACACCAGUGGCGAAGGCGGUCUGCUGGACAGCAACUGACGCUGAGGCGCGAAAGCGUGGGGAGCAAACAGGAUUAGAUACCCCAGUAC
rnacentral:rRNA from 1 species